ensembl:misc_RNA
UUGACAGCCCUGAAGAGUGAGGUCUUCUCAUACCCAGAACAGGUACAGCAGUAAGAAAUGCUACAUUCUUUUUCCACAUUGCCAUACCAAUAAACCUCAGCUGUUGCUCAAACAGAGUACUCCAGGAGUGAAAGGACAGUUUAAUCUCCAUGUCCAUUCAAUUUUUGGCCUCU